UAGGGAAUCUUCGGCAAUGGACGGAAGUCUGACCGAGCAACGCCGCGUGAGUGAAGAAGGUUUUCGGAUCGUAAAGCUCUGUUGUUAGAGAAGAACGUUGGUAGGAGUGGAAAAUCUACCAAGUGACGGUAACUAACCAGAAAGGGACGGCUAACUACGUGCCAGCAGCCGCGGUAAUACGUAGGUCCCGAGCGUUGUCCGGAUGUAUUGGGCGUAAAGCGAGCGCAGGCGGUUCUUUAAGUCUGAAGUUAAAGGCAGUGGCUUAACCAUUGUACGCUUUGGAAACUGGAGGACUUGAGUGCAGAAGGGGGGAGUGGAAUUCCAUGUGUAGCGGUGAAAUGCGUAGAUAUAUGGAGGAACACCGGUGGCGAAAGCGGCUCUCUGGUCUGUAUCUGACGCUGAGGCUCGAAAGCGUGGGGAGCAAACAGG
rnacentral:rRNA from 1 species